UAGUAGUCCAAGACCUAUGUCGGAGAGAAA
rnacentral:piRNA from 1 species